AAUGAAAAAUGGUGCAGCCUCUACAGCAAACAGUAUGGAUGUUCCUCAAAAAAAUAAAAAUAGAACUACCACAUGAUGCAGCAAUCCCAUUUCUGGGUAUUUAUCCAAAAGAAUCGAAAGUAGGUUCUUGGAGAUAUAUUAGCCCUCACAUGUUCAUUGUGACACUAUUCACAAUAGCCAAGCUGACAAUUGGAAGAGUUUUCUUCAUACGAGCUUCUGGCUUCAUACAUUUUCAAAACUUGAUUUUCUUCUGCUCCCACACACUUCCGAUGUUGGGUGUCAUAGGACACGUCUAGGUCUUGAUUUGAGCUCUGGCCUUGCACCUUCAGGUCACAGCUUCAGGUGAGUCAGCAUGUUAGGUGAAUAAGAGAUUCCUGGAACUGUUCCUUCGUCUGGGCGGCAGGUAAUAGCUGUAAUAGCUCAACUAUGCGUGGAAGUAACUAUAAACCCUGUGAAUAGACCCCAAACAGAGUGUAUCCCCAACUGAACUUCUCCUUAGCUGGGUUCCAGGCAUGCCUGUGGCCACUCCAGUGCCAUCCAAACACAAGGGGAAAUGUGAAGGAGGGGAAGUCAAAGUGGAAAUAGCAGUCUUACCUGCAAUUAAAAUAGCUUACUUUUUCAAAUUUUAUAAAAUCAAAUGACCUUACUAUCACAUUUCUAGGGCCUUGGAAGGGUCCUGGGUGUGAGAGAGGACCCUGAAGUUUGAGCUUUAUUUACUCCACAGUAAAUCCAUCUCUGCCCUGCCCAGAACAUGUACCCAAGCACAGUUAAAGUGAAGAAGUAUACAUAGAAUUGAAAAUAUCCAAGUUAGGAACUAUUCACAGGUAUAAUGGCUUCUGAGGCCUCUCAAGGAACCUUGUGUAGCUGAUAUCCUGGCCCAUGCUCCAGCCCAUCCUAUCCUCCCAUCCUGUCCCUUGCUAAUCAUGCCCAGAGCCUCUGCUCAGUCCCUGUUCUCCCACCUCACUCACUGCCUCCAGCUGGGGUCUGAGGGGGCCUCAGAACUGGGAGUUAAGCAGGAAUUUAUGUAUAUUUUAAAAUAUUAGAUCUAUUUUCUCACAGAAACUAUGUUCCAAUAGGGGAUUCAUACCUGGACUUUUGGAACACAAAGCAUCUAUAAAUGGAGAAAUUUACUUGUUAUUAUGGUUGAGAAGUUCUGCAGUUAAUUCUUAUAGAGUUUUAGACCACUUGGAAAUAGUAGCCACGCAACUUAUAAAUGGAGUAUUAUAGCUGAAAGGCAACCAAUAGAGUACCCGUUCUAAACCCCUCAUUUUCAGAUGAGGAAACUGAGACCCAGGAGGUAACGGCAAUUUCUCCAAAGAUGGAACCAAAUUAGUCAGGGUAGGCUAAGAGCUAUAACAAACAACUCCCAAAUCUCAGUGGCUUACCACAAUAAAGGUUUAUUUCUUCCUUGUGUCUCAAUUCAGUGUGGGUCAGGGGAGGGGUAGAGGGGGCCUCUGCUUCUCACAGGCUUCAUGGACCCACUCAGCUCUAAAAAAUGUCUGAGACCAUUUCACCGAAGGCAAAUAAAUACAUGAAAAGAUGUUAAACAUCACUAACCAAUAAGGAAAUGCAAACUAAGGGUACCACAGGAUAUCCCUACACAUCUAUUAGAUGAGUGAACUUAACAACAUACUGACAACACUGAAUACUUGAAAUCUUGUAUACAGAGAAACUGGAUCUGUCAUAUAUUGUUGGUGAGAAUGCAAAUGGCACAACCACUCUGGAAAACAGUUUUACAGAUUCUUAAAAACAAACAAAUAAACAAACAAACAACAACUGGAGUUGGGAGGAAUGAGGAUUGAUGGCUAUAGAGUUUCUUUUGACGGGGAACAAAAUGCUCUAAAAUUAGAUUAUGGUGAUGAGACAGGCUGGGACCUGGGACCUGGGGUCCUUUACUGCAGUGCCUGUACUCCUGGAGCAACAAAAUACAAAGAAACUAUAAGGAACUAAAAAUAACAGCAUGCAUGCAGCAGCUGGGGCAAAUUAUGAACAACAAGCUACAAAGAGGUGAAAACCCACUGGCCGCUUCUGAGUUGUCGAGAGCAAAAGCAGAGUAACACGCAUGAUUCCUGCACACAGCCCCUCCAAGGGGGUGGGCAGACCACCUGAGCCACGCCUCUGCCCCUGCCCUCACCCCAUUUAAAGGACUAGCUCAUCCCCUCUCAAAGAGUGAGCAAGGGAACCUGUUACUUGUUUUCACUCCCUCAUGCUACAGUGAGUCCCAAUAAAGCCUUACCUGAA